UACGGAGGGUGCGAGCGUUGUCCGGAAUCACUGGGCGUAAAGGGCGCGUAGGCGGCCUGAUAAGUAGGGGGUGAAAUCCUGCGGCUUAACCGCAGGGCUGCCUUCUAAACUGUCAGGCUAGAGCACAGUAGAGGCAGGUGGAAUUCCCGGUGUAGCGGUGAAAUGCGUAGAUAUUGGGAGGAACACCGGUGGCGAAGGCGGCUACCUGGACCGGUACUGACGCUGAGGCGCGAAAGCUAGGGUAGCAAACAGG
rnacentral:rRNA from 1 species